AUGAUUUCUUUGAGGUCCACUUCAGUUCUGCUGUUCCCAUCAUUGUUGGUUUGGCUGUUAGUUUGGCUGCUUGCAUCGUGUUUAUUCUGUUUCUUGUCUUCUUUGGGUGGAGACAAAAUGUCAAGAUCAAGAAAAGCCACAGUAAUACAACUGAUAAAGGAGAGAAGAAGAACCAAACUAAAAGCAACAACGCUGAAGAUAUGUUUGUCACUGAAGAAGAAACAGAGAGAAAGAUGCUCAUGACAACUGAAACAGAGACCAAAAAUCUCCAUGAAGAGAAUCAGGGCAGGGAGGAGACUGUGAACAAAGUGGAGAGUCAGAAUGAGGAGAAGGAGGUUGAGAACAGUCAGGUUAAUAUCUUCAUCAUAUCAUUCUGUACUAAUGUGUCUCAUAUCUGCUGUAUGAGGCAGGUUAAAUGGAUGGAUGAAUGGAAUUACUUUCAGUAAAUGAGUAAUAUUGAACAGCUCUUCACAGCUGUCCUUGUGUAGUCAAUCUUGAGUUUUCAUGGAAAUGCUG